GCGCAUGUUUGGCCAAUUGCCCUUCUUACAGGAAGAGGAGGGUCCGAGGCCCAGGAGGGGUAGAUGCCCACGCUGGGCUGUAUGAGGGGCAGAGGCCGAACUGUCUUCCAGGAAAACAGAGCCCCAGGGCCAGGCCCUUGACCACCACCAGCAGUCCUGCUCAGGCUAAACAUGCUCCAGGAAGAGCAGGGUCUCCGAACAUACAGCUGCCAAACUGCUGGCCCGCCCCGGUGGUGGAAACCACGCCGGCGGCAGCAGCAGCAGAAAUGACAGCGUCGAGGGGCAGCCUGGCCUGAAAACAAACCCGGGUCUGUCCGGUCCCCGCUCGGCUGUGAGUCACUGGCCAUUUUUACUUCUAAGGCCAGACCUUCAGCUUCAUCAGGGGUCUCCUGUCUCCUGGCUGACGCAGAAGACGGAGGAGACACCAUCUGGCCAUCCAGCUGCUACUGCUGCUAAGUCGCUUCAGUCGUGUCCAACUGUGUGUGACCCCAUAUAUGGCAGUCCACCAGGCUCCCCUGUCCCUGGGAUUCUCCCGGCAAGAACACUGGAGUGGGUUGCCAUUUCCUUCUCCAAUGCAUGAAAGUGAAAAGUGAAAGUGAAGUCGCUCAGUUGUGUCUGACUCUUAGCGACCCCAUGGACUUCAUCCUACCAGGCUCAUUCGUCCAUGGGAUUUUCCAGGCAAGAGUGCUGGAGUGGGGUGCCAUUGCCUUCUCCAGAGGCCUCCGCAAAAGGUGUGAGACCCGCAGGGUGUUUGGGGGGUCGCGGCCGGCGAGGUGGGCGGACACCAGGUCUGUUACCCUGACGGCCUGGCCUUCACCUGCAGCUUUGGGUUGGCUUCUUGCGCUUAUCUGCUCAGCAGCGCAGCGAAUUGUGCAACCAGAGCUCUCUUCUGUGUGACAUGGGGGUGCCAUGCUGUGCUUCACUAAACGAGAGAGUUGAAAGAAGGGCCUUGGGACUUCGUGGGGUGAUCCAGUGGCAAAGACUCUGCACUCCCAAUGCGGUGGAGCGGGGGGUCCAGGUUCGAUUCCUGGUCAGGGAACUAGAUGGCACGUGCCACAAACACAAUGAAGAUCCUGCAUGCGGCAGCUACGACCCAGGGCAGCCAAGUAAACAAAUACUAAUAUUUAAAAAGAAAGCAGGAAAGAGGGCCUCGGUGGGGACGCACACCUACCAGCCACCUUGGGGAGGGAAGUUGGUUUCUCUGGGCACGAGCCAUUCAAGGCUCAGCUGAGAUGCUGGAGGAAUCAGGGCUGGUCCGUUGUCCUGCGGUCUUUUUUUCUGUUCCUAGAUGUGCCCGCUUGAGCCCUGAGUGCUGGCAGAAUAUGCAGUGGAGGGCCUGGGGCUGCCAACACACUCAGGGGGACCCCAAAGGGGAGACUGAGCUUGUGGCCGCCUGCCUGGCCUGGCCCGGGACCCCUUCCUGGCAGCUAGGAUGGAUCUGCUGGGCUCUCCUUGGCAGAAAGGGGGCAGCCCUGGGCCCAGAGAACUGGCCUGGAGGCCCGUCCCCACCGAUUAAUGCUUGUGGCCGUGGGCAAGUCACGUGGCCUCGCUGCACCUCGGGUUCCCUGGGGAAGGCCAGGGUGCCGACCGCUCUCAUCUCCUUGGUUCUCUGAGAAGGAAAUGAGAUGGUGAAGGGCCUUCUGCAUAGUAGACGCUCACUGAGCAUCAGGAAUGGUGAAAUAAAAUUCAUAUUUUUGGCAAGACAAGAAAGUUUAGACGUAACGUUUUCUUGGCUCCUUUGGGCCUCCUCCCUCCCCUUCCGUGUGUCUUAUGCUGCAUUAACCAGACUUCCUUAACUUCCUGCUUAAUUUCAUAAAGGGUCACAACUCCUUAGGAGAUAACCUUCCUUUUUAAUUGUUAAGGGACCACAGUGAGCCAUAACCCACUACUUGCUUUGUACAUGUAGCUCUAGAUUGUAUGAACUGUCAAUGUGUAUAAUGAUGUAUAAUGCUUUGUCUUAAAAAUGUAUAUAACUGUGCUGUAACAGGCAGAACGAUCCUCAGAGCUUUCUGGAAGAUUGUCUCCCAGGUUGUAACCCUCAGGU
ensembl:lncRNA